rnacentral:rRNA from 1 species
GUGGGGAAUAUUGCACAAUGGGCGAAAGCCUGAUGCAGCGACGCCGCGUGAGUGAAGAAGUAUUUCGGUAUGUAAAGCUCUAUCAGCAGGGAAGAAAAUGACGGUACCUGACUAAGAAGCCCCGGCUAACUACGUGCCAGCAGCCGCGGUAAUACGUAGGGGGCAAGCGUUAUCCGGAUUUACUGGGUGUAAAGGGAGCGCAGACGGCUGAGUAAGUCUGAAGUGAAAGCCUGGGGCUCAACCCCGGAAUUGCUUUGGAAACUAUUUAGCUAGAGUGCAGGAGAGGUAAGUGGAAUUCCUAGUGUAGCGGUGAAAUGCGUAGAUAUUAGGAGGAACACCAGUGGCGAAGGCGGCUUACUGGACUGUAACUGACGUUGAGGCUCGAAAGCGUGGGGAGCAAACAGG